UUCUAAGUGGGAUAUCGAGGGACUUUCCGAAAGCAAUUUGGAAUUGUGGAAAGCGAAGAUGGAAGCAAUUUUAAUGUUCGGGAUGAUGGGUAAAACAUGGAGUGUUGUUAUCCGGUGACUCGAAGAUAACGAGUUAAUGGAGAUGGUGAAGAUGGUCGGCCUGGAGAGGCGGUGGUAAUAAUACUCGACAUCAGCCUGGAGAGGCGGUGCUAAGAAUACUCGGG
rnacentral:lncRNA from 1 species